GAUGAACGCUAGCGGCGUGGAUAAGGCAUGCAAGUCGAGGGGUUCUCGUUUCGGCGAGGACACCGGCAAACGGGUUAGUAACACGUAGAUACAUACCAUUCACACAGGCAUAACUCAUCGAAAGAUGAGCUAAUUCCUGAUAGUCCCUCCUUCGGGCGGGUAAAGGUUUCGAGCAAUCGAUUCCGGUGGAUGAAUGGUCUGCGGCUUAUCAGCUUGUUGGUGAGGUAAUGGCUCACCAAGGCAAUGACGGGUAGGGGAUAUGAGAGUGUGUUCCCCAACAAGGGCACUGCGACACGGGCCCUACUCCUACGGGAGGCAGCAGUCGAGAAUAAUUCGCAAUGGGCGAAAGCCUGACGAUGCGACGCCGCGUGCUCGAAGAAUCCCUUCGGGGUGUAAAGAGCUUUUCUGGAGGAAGAAUUUGCCUUUGGCAGAUGACGGUACUCCAGGAAUAAGGAGAUGCUAAUCACGUGCCAGCAGCAGCGGUAAUACGUGAUCUCCAAGCGUUAUCCGGAUUUAUUGGGCGUAAAGCGUUCGUAGGCGGUUAGAUAAGUCUCUGGUUAAAGCCCCAUGGCUUAACUAUGGGAAUGCCAGAGAUACUAUCUGACUAGAGGGCGUUAGAGGCUGAUGGAACGGUCGGUGUAGGGGUGAAAUCCGUUGAUAUCGACCGGAACACUAAAAGCGAAGGCAUUCAGCUGGAGCGACCCUGACGCUGAGGAACGAAAGCGUGGGUAGCGAACGAGAUUAGAUA
rnacentral:rRNA from 1 species